ACCGGAGGGUGCGAGCGUUAAUCGGAAUUACUGGGCGUAACGCCCGCGUAGGCGGCUUGAUAAGCCGGUUGUGAAAGCCCCGGGCUCAACCUGGGAAACGCAUCCGGAACUGUCAGGCUAGAGUGCAGGAGAGGAAGGUAGAAUUCCCGGUGUAGCGGUGAAAUGCGUAGAGAUCGGGAGGAAUACCAGUGGCGAAGGCGGCCUUCUGGACUGACACUGACGCUGAGGUGCGAAAGCGUGGGUAGCAAACAGG
rnacentral:misc_RNA from 1 species